UCUGGUGGUUAUAGCGAAAAGGUCCCACCCGAUUCCAUUCCGAACUCGGACGUGAAACUUUUCCACGCCAAUGGUACUUCGGCUUAAGCCGCGGUAGAGUAGGUCGCUGCCAGUC
rnacentral:rRNA from 1 species